rnacentral:lncRNA from 1 species
AUGAAUUCAGAAGACUUGCAAUGUAGCGCACAAGUUGUAUGAAGUUUUUUUUUUUUGAGGUUGAUCAGAAUGGUCACAUUGAACUUUCAUUGAAUGCAAACAACUGUGAGGUUGGCGCAAGAUGGCGGAUGUCCAAGCUGCUCUUUUCAACGCAAGUGAAUGGUGACUACAGCUGUCAAGCACUUUUCAAGAUGCUCAAAAACACACCUCUUUGAUCCGGGUUCGAAGACCUCCAUGAAUCUGCUGGUACCUCUUCCACCUGAUGUUCGGAGACCACUUACAGGGGAAACAGGAAGAGGCCAUGUUCAGACUGCCUGUAGAUCAGCUAACGUGGAUUGAGCCAUGCAACGUUUUCCGAAGACAGAAGAGAAACUUAAUGAGAGGAGACAGAAGUCCUAUUUAAAAGUAAAUAAGACGGGUAAUUAAUUCUCAGAUCGCACAGUAUCUCAUAUAAAG